rnacentral:rRNA from 1 species
UACAGAGGGUGCGAGCGUUAAUCGGAAUUACUGGGCGUAAAGCGCGCGUAGGCGGCUUUGCAAGUCGAUUGUGAAAUCCCCAGGCUUAACCUGGGAACUGCAUUCGAGACUGCAUAGCUAGAGUAUGGGAGAGGGAAGUGGAAUUUCAGGUGUAGCGGUGAAAUGCGUAGAUAUCUGAAGGAACAUCAGUGGCGAAAGCGACUUCCUGGACCAAUACUGACGCUCAUGUGCGAAAGCGUGAGGAGCAAACAGG